rnacentral:rRNA from 1 species
GGCCCUACGGGAGGCAGCAGUAGGGAAUCUUCCACAAUGGACGCAAGUCUGAUGGAGCAACGCCGCGUGAGUGAAGAAGGCUUUCGGGUCGUAAAACUCUGUUGUUGGAGAAGAAUGGUCGGCAGAGUAACUGUUGUCGGCGUGACGGUAUCCAACCAGAAAGCCACGGCUAACUACGUGCCAGCAGCCGCGAUAAUACGUAGGUGGCAAGCGUUAUCCGGAUUUAUUGGGCGUAAAGCGAGCGCAGGCGGUUUUUUAAGUCUGAUGUGAAAGCCCUCGGCUUAACCGAGGAAACGCAUCGGAAA